rnacentral:antisense_RNA from 1 species
GAUGCCCGCAGUCCAGGGCGUCGGGGAGGGCGCGGCUGGACCUGCGGGGCUACGAGGAGGCAGCCGGACCCUGCACCGCAGUCCCGGACCUGACAGGGCCGCGACCCCCACGCCUCCGCCCCCGCCCCCUCCCAUCGUGCAGCUGCCUCCGAGGGGGGAUGAGGGAGAGGGCGCAGUCUUCCCGAGCGUGUGAGCCGCGCCUACUGGGUUUCAUCAUGUUGUCCAGGCUGGUCUUGAACUCCUGGGCUCAAGCAAUCAGCCCACCUCUGCCUCCCAAAGCGUUGAGAUUACAAGCGUGAGCCACCAUUCCUGGACCCUGGUAGUUUUUCUGGAGCCUCGUGAUUUGAUAUGAUCUUCCUGCACCUGAUUCCUCACAGUAUUGGCUUGCCACACCUCCAGAGGCACUGAUCACAUUCUACCUAGCAUUAUUUCAUCUGAGUCCCUGUCCUAGCCCUUCUGCCCAUUAGACUGUAACCUUGUUUAGGGAAAGACCUGUGUCUUACUCAUCUGUGUUUUUGUUGUUGUUGUUGUUGUUGUUUUGAGACAGGGUCUUGCCCUGUUGCCCAGGCUGGAGAGCAGUGGUGUAAUCUUGGCUCACUGCAGCCUCCACCUGUUGGGGUCAAGCCAUCCUCCCACCUCAGCCUUCCAAGUAGCUGAGACUACAGGCGUGUGCCACCACACCCAGCUAGUUUUUUGUAUUUUUAGUAGAGACGGGGUUUUGCCAUGUUGCCCAGGCUUCUCUUGAACUCCUGAGCUCAAGGGAUCUGCCUGCCUCGGCCUCCC